rnacentral:rRNA from 1 species
UACGAAGGGGGCCAGCGUUGCUCGGAAUCACUGGGCGUAAAGGGUGCGUAGGCGGGUCUUUAAGUCAGGGGGGAAAUCCUGGAGCUCAACUCCAGAACUGCCUUUGAUACUGAAGAUCUUGAGUUCGGGAGAGGUGAGUGGAACUGCGAGUGUAGAGGUGAAAUUCGUAGAUAUUCGCAAGAACACCAGUGGCGAAGGCGGCUCACUGGCCCGAUACUGACGCUGAGGCACGAAAGCGUGGGGAGCAAACAGG